GACGAACGCUGGCGGCGUGCUUAACACAUGCAAGUCGAACGGAAAGACCCUGCUGUUUUGGGGUGCUCGAGUGGCGAACGGGUGGGUAACACGUGAGUAACCUGCCCUUGACUUUGGGAUAACUUCAGUAAACUGGGGCUAAUACCUGAUAGGAGCUCCUGCUGCAUGGUGUGGGUUGGAAAGUUUCGGCGGUUGGGGAUGGACUCGCGGCUUAUCAGCUUGUUGGUGGGGUAGUGGCUUACCAAGGCUUUGACGGGUAGCCGGACUGAGAGGGUGACCGGCCACAGUGGGACUCAGAUACCGGCCAGAGUGAUACGGGCGGCAGGAGUGGGGACUAUUGGGCAAUGGGCGGAAGGAUGAUGCAGCAACGCCGCGUGGGGGAUGACGGCCUUCGGGGUCGAACCCGCGUUCGCCUGUGACGAAGCGGUAGUGACGGUAAUUGGUAAAGAAGCCCCGGCUAACUACGUG
rnacentral:rRNA from 1 species